AACUAAACUACAGCAAUGAAAAAUUUACAACAAAGCACAACACACCUCUCAAAAAUUGCUAUUAGAAGCACAAAACAGAAAGCCACAUAUUUUGAAACCUGUCUUGUCAAGUUACAAUGAGCUACAACACAUCUUACUUUUUGCUGGAAUUUCUUGUCCGGGGCCUGGAAUGAUGAUUUUCUUGCCCGCCAGGGAUGCAGGGUUACCAUUAGUUUGAUUUUCACCAGCAGUUAGAGUCUUCUUGUUUACAAUAUUAAAGAUCUCUGUCAACACAGUCAAGAAUGCAUUCUCGACAUUAGUCGCUUCCAAUGCAGAUGUCUCUAAGAAGAACAAUCCUUCCUUCUGGGCAAAUUCCUUAGCAUCUUCAGUGGGGA
rnacentral:misc_RNA from 1 species